UACGGAGGGGGCUAGCGUUGUUCGGAAUUACUGGGCGUAAAGCGCACGUAGGCGGCUUUGUAAGUUAGAGGUGAAAGCCCGGAGCUCAACUCCGGAACUGCCUUUAAGACUGCAUCGCUUGAACGUCGGAGAGGUAAGUGGAAUUCCGAGUGUAGAGGUGAAAUUCGUAGAUAUUCGGAAGAACACCAGUGGCGAAGGCGGCUUACUGGUCCGGUUCUGACGCUGAGGCGCGAAAGCGUGGGGAGCAAACAGGG
rnacentral:rRNA from 1 species